rnacentral:snRNA from 1 species
GGGUAUGUGAAUUAUGUCUGUGACAUUUGUUACUUUAUUGGUGACCAGGAUUGAGUCUAUUGAUCUGACUGGGAGGCAGGCAUCGCUGUCUUCUCUCAAAUCUUUCCAUAUAUCUUUCCUCAUGCUGUUUCGUCUAGUCCAUCAGAGAGAACAGCCUUUCCUAGGGGAGGAGGGUCAGUGAAGAAUAUAAAGGUAGCUCUGCUUCUUUGUUUGAGCCUCCAAACAAACUCUGAAAGCAUCUCAGGGAACAUCCAUGUUUACUUCUAUCAUGUAAUUGUCUUGCUACUGAUGUCCCCACUGGGGACCACUUAC